ACUUUCACUUUCACUUUGCACGUUCAUUUUCACUUUCACUUUCAUAGAAUACCUUUAAAAAAAAGUAUUGUAUUGUUUAUUGCUUCAAAAAGUGAAACCUCCAUAGUAGCCGCUUACUGUUUUGCCGCGCCACCUUACACCACCGCACAAUAUCUGCAGCACCGCAGUUGUCCGCUGAGCCACCAGUGCAAGGAGUCUUGUAGAUUUUUUCCAAAGAGCUUCCUCAGUUUAUUGUUAAGGUUGGCCCAAUCUUAAGUAACAUGUAUGGUAAAGAUUGAGAGAAGAGACUUGAGGUGAAGGAGCUGCUGGACAAUUUUGUGCUUUGAGCCUUUUAAGCAAUAUUUUAAGCAAGUUCCUCCUACAUAUUCUCAACAAAUGACCAACGAGCUUAGGGAAAGGUGGACUUCAUAUGUUACUAGAUACCAUCAACCAAAUGACGACGAUGAUGAUUUAUGUGAAUUUUAGAUCAAUAUGAUAUUGGUACAUCUUAGCAUAAUUUUUUUAAAAUCAACAUUAAUUAGAAAGGUUUUAUGAUUUUUCACUCGUAUUUGUUUGUAUAGAACAAAUUUUGAAUGAAUGAUUCAAUUUAAUUGCGGUUGGAUGUUUUGAAUUAUAUAUGUGAAGUAUAUUUUGAUGGCUUUCGUCGUAUUUGGAAA